UAAUACGGAGGGUGCAAGCGUUAUCCGGAUUCACUGGGUUUAAAGGGUGCGUAGGCGGGCAGUUAAGUCAGUGGUGAAAUCCUUGAGCUCAACUCGAGAACUGCCAUUGAUACUAUCUGUCUUGAAUAUUGUGGAGGUAAGCGGAAUAUGUCAUGUAGCGGUGAAAUGCUUAGAUAUGACAUAGAACACCUAUUGCGAAGGCAGCUUACUACGCAUAUAUUGACGCUGAGGCACGAAAGCGUGGGGAUCAAACAGGAUUAGAUACCCUGGUAGUCCACGCCCUAAACGAUGAUUACUCGACAUUUGUGAUACACUAUAAGUGUCUGAGCGAAAGCAUUAAGUAAUCCACCUGGGAAGUACGACCGCAAGGUUG
rnacentral:rRNA from 1 species